rnacentral:lncRNA from 1 species
GGAAAUGGUUAAUGAGAUCAUUCUACCUCAGAGAAUAUUAAUAUGAAGUUUUAUUGAUGUACAAACUGUGGGCGAACAGUAGGCAGCACAUGGGAUAAUGAAGAAAUUUUAAUCAAAGUAACUUUCAUCACAUUUUAUUACCAUGUAUGUUAGCAGCACACACGGCAUGUUACUAUGUAAAAAGGAGCUCCUAAAUGCUUAGUAUUCGUGCAAGGUGGAUGUGGAGCGGUCCAAAGGAAACACAGAAACAGAAGAAGAAGAAGAAGAAGUCCUAAUAUUGAUCAGGCAAAAUAGGGAAACAGGAGAGCCCGAAGAAUCAAGAGGCCCUGUGGUGGAUGGUGGGCUUUCCCUCACUGUGUUCUAGGUCUCGUGUGAUGAAGCCUACAGUGAUGCCCAGGAAGUACGGUGACUCCUGUGUCGUGCUUUGUGAGACUGUCAGAACCUUUGUUCAUGCUGUCAAUCAACUGUUCUGCACGCCCCCCCCCCCCGGCCCCCCUCCUCCGCAGCCACAUGGGUAACUGCAGUAGCUACUUGCAAAUAGAUUUCUGUAACAGUGCAUUAUCCUUCAGGCCUUUGCUCUGGAGCUCCGGCGCUCCCCGCCCCCAUCAUCUCCAACAAUCUAGCCAUUCAUGUGGCAUAGCCCCUCGCUCACUCCUUCACCAUGUGUCAAGUGGUUUGUGUUUCAGUGCCGUGUGCGACACAGUGGAACGAGCACUGGGCUGGAUGCCAGGAACCUGGAGUUUUUGCCCCAAGUCAGACUCAGGACCUUGGAAAAGUCGUUUGACUUUCUUCUGUCUCAACCCCGUCCUUACCCGUGUGGAAUAUUCUCUAGGGUAGCAGGUUUGGAGGUUUUAUUUAUAGUGAGGCCAUGUUUGGGUCUUUGUGUUCUGAGAAGAAUACAAACUCAUUUCAAAUUAAGUAAAAAAUAUGUGCAUGUUUUACAGUUUCUCUUGGUAAAACUGCCAUAAACUUGUGGUUUGCAGACCUGAAACGAAAGCAACUUUGGUGUGUACAUCCCUCCCUGAAUCUAAUGUCUGAGCAGGGCACUCACUUGAAGACCUAACCUUUUGAGUGGAAAGUCAGUGGGUUAAAGAUACUAUGCUUUUCCUAUCUCUUCUUGGAAAGGUUUGUUCCUGGAGUAGGCCAAGUUCAAUGUCACUGGUGCACUGUUUACAAAGCAAUAUUCACAGUUACCAUUUUUUGCCCUUUCAAAUAGAACAUAGAUACAAUGGGGUUGUUUAAACAAAACAGUACAGCACAGCAAGAAAAUCGACAGACAGUGUGAGCCUGAGAGGAAUGGUCCUUCUGUUUAAAUCCUACCAGCCGGCUUCUGAUCUUAGUGCUUAAGCUUCUUUCUCUAGUUUACCUGUGACAAUAGGCUGGAGUAACUAUGGCAGUGAUCUCAGGGGUCAGCCGUGAAGGUGAGGUGGAGAAGCUGCACACAGUGCCUCGAGCGGGGUGCGGGUCUGUGGUAUGCAUCCCAUGGUGAGCUCCGCGAUCACCUUUCCAUCGGAGAGGCUUACUUACCUAUAUGAAAAGGCUAGAAACUUAAAUGUCCUGGGUGGGCAGAGCCACAACACCCCAGAGUUGAACAGUAUUUGCUUUCUGAAUGCUGUUUAAAAGUGGCUUUCAUGUGACCCAACUACUUCUAAGUAGACACCGAUGCAGCUUAAAUGGAUAUUAAGUGGAGACUUUAGGAACUGUCCCUUCACCAUAAGAAGGAGGGAGUGUGUGGGGGUUACCUUUGUUUCUAAUGAACCUGUGUUGCAACAACGUGGGGAGGUUGUGUGUGUGUGUGUGUGUGUGUGUGUGUGUGUGUGUAAGAGUGAAACAUUAGGCAUCUGCAGCACAUGCUUGGGAGAUAGCUCAGCAAAUGAAGUCAGGCUCCAGAACCCAUGUUUGAAAAAAUAAAAAAACACAGCAGAGCAUAUUGGUUUAACCUUGUGAUUCCAGAUCUGGGGAAGCAAAGGCAGGCAUAGACCCAGGGCUCACUGUCCAGCCAGCCUAACCUACCUAGGGAGUCCCAAGUCCCUGAAAAAAAGAAAGAUGAAAAGGAAGAAAGGAAGAAGAAAGAAAGGAAGGAAGGAAAGGAAGGGAGGAAGAAAGAAAGAAAGAAAGAAAG